CUUGAGUGGAUCCUGAGUACGACGGAGCACGUGAAAUUCCGUCGGAAUCUGGGAGGACCAUCUCCUAAGGCUAAAUACUCUCUAGUGACCGAUAGUGAACCAGUACCGUGAGGGAAAGGUGAAAAGCACCCCGGAAGGGGAGUGAAAUAGAACCUGAAACCGUGUGCUUACAAGUAGUCAGAGCCCGUUAAUGGGUGAUGGCGUGCCUUUUGUAGAAUGAACCGGCGAGUUACGAUUUGAUGCAAGGUUAAGCAGUAAAUGUGGAGCCGUAGCGAAAGCGAGUCUGAAUAGGGCGUUUAGUAUUUGGUCGUAGACCCGAAACCAGGUGAUCUACCCUUGGUCAGGUUGAAGUUCAGGUAACACUGAAUGGAGGACCGAACCGACUUACGUUGAAAAGUGAGCGGAUGAACUGAGGGUAGCGGAGAAAUUCCAAUCGAACCUGGAGAUAGCUGGUUCUCUCCGAAAUAGCUUUAGGGCUAGCCUCAAGUGAUGAUUAUUGGAGGUAGAGCACUGUUUGGACGAGGGGCCCCUCUCGGGUUACCGAAUUCAGACAAACUCCGAAUGCCAAUUAAUUUAACUUGGGAGUCAGAACAUGGGUGAUAAGGUCCGUGUUCGAAAGGGAAACAGCCCAGACCACCAGCUAAGGUCCCAAAAUAUAUGUUAAGUGGAAAAGGAUGUGGCGUUGCCCAGACAACUAGGAUGUUGGCUUAGAAGCAGCCAUCAUUUAAAGAGUGCGUAAUAGCUCACUAGUCGAGUGACACUGCGCCGAAAAUGUACCGGGGCUAAACAUAUUACCGAAGCUGUGGAUUGUCCUUUGGACAAUGGUAGGAGAGCGUUCUAAGGGCGUUGAAGCAUGAUCGUAAGGACAUGUGGAGCGCUUAGAAGUGAGAAUGCCGGUGUGAGUAGCGAAAGACGGGUGAGAAUCCCGUCCACCGAUUGACUAAGGUUUCCAGAGGAAGGCUCGUCCGCUCUGGGUUAGUCGGGUCCUAAGCUGAGGCCGACAGGCGUAGGCGAUGGAUAACAGGUUGAUAUUCCUGUACCACCUAUAAUCGUUUUAAUCGAUGGGGGGACGCAGUAGGAUAGGCGAAGCGUGCGAUUGGAUUGCACGUCUAAGCAGUAAGGCUGAGUAUUAGGCAAAUCCGGUACUCAUUAAGGCUGAGCUGUGAUGGGGAGAAGACAUUGUGUCUUCGAGUCGUUGAUUUCACACUGCCGAGAAAAGCCUCUAGAUAGAAAAUAGGUGCCCGUACCGCAAACCGACACAGGUAGUCAAGAUGAGAAUUCUAAGGUGAGCGAGCGAACUCUCGUUAAGGAACUCGGCAAAAUGACCCCGUAACUUCGGGAGAAGGGGUGCUCUUUAGGGUUAACGCCCAGAAGAGCCGCAGUGAAUAGGCCCAAGCGACUGUUUAUCAAAAACACAGGUCUCUGCUAAACCGUAAGGUGAUGUAUAGGGGCUGACGCCUGCCCGGUGCUGGAAGGUUAAGAGGAGUGGUUAGCUUCUGCGAAGCUACGAAUCGAAGCCCCAGUAAACGGCGGCCGUAACUAUAACGGUCCUAAGGUAGCGAAAUUCCUUGUCGGGUAAGUUCCGACCCGCACGAAAGGCGUAACGAUUUGGGCACUGUCUCAACGAGAGACUCGGUGAAAUCAUAGUACCUGUGAAGAUGCAGGUUACCCGCGACAGGACGGAAAGACCCCGUGGAGCUUUACUGUAGCCUGAUAUUGAAAUUCGGCACAGCUUGUACAGGAUAGGUAGGAGCCUUUGAAACGUGAGCGCUAGCUUACGUGGAGGCGCUGGUGGGAUACUACCCUAGCUGUGUUGGCUUUCUAACCCGCACCACUUAUCGUGGUGGGAGACAGUGUCAGGCGGGCAGUUUGACUGGGGCGGUCGCCUCCUAAAAGGUAACGGAGGCGCUCAAAGGUUCCCUCAGAAUGGUUGGAAAUCAUUCAUAGAGUGUAAAGGCAUAAGGGAGCUUGACUGCGAGACCUACAAGUCGAGCAGGGUCGAAAGACGGACUUAGUGAUCCGGUGGUUCCGCAUGGAAGGGCCAUCGCUCAACGGAUAAAAGCUACCCCGGGGAUAACAGGCUUAUCUCCCCCAAGAGUUCACAUCGACGGGGAGGUUUGGCACCUCGAUGUCGGCUCAUCGCAUCCUGGGGCUGUAGUCGGUCCCAAGGGUUGGGCUGUUCGCCCAUUAAAGCGGUACGCGAGCUGGGUUCAGAACGUCGUGAGACAGUUCGGUCCCUAUCCGUCGUGGGCGUAGGAAAUUUGAGAGGAGCUGUCCUUAGUACGAGAGGACCGGGAUGGACAUACCUCUGGUGUACCAGUUGUCGUGCCAACGGCAUAGCUGGGUAGCUAUGUGUGGACGGGAUAAGUGCUGAAAGCAUCUAAGCAUGAAGCCCCCCUCAAGAUGAGAUUUCCCAACUUCGGUUAUAAGAUCCCUCAAAGAUGAUGAGGUUAAUAGGUUCGAGGUGGAAGCAUGGUGACAUGUGGAGCUGACGAAUACUAAUCGAUCGAAGACUUAAUCAA
rnacentral:rRNA from 3 species